ACGGAUCCUCACAUGCUCCCCUCAUUUACAUCCUGACGUCCUCGUCAGGCUAAAGGUUCAAAUCUAUUCAAAUCUAAGCACAAUCACCAUGAUCGGCUCGUGAUCAGCCCCAAUGGAUUCAUGCUGCAGUGUCCCCUAGUCCACAUAGGUUAUGUGCUGGGUCUGCUCUGAUACUAUUAUGUCAUAACUCAGAACCUCACUCAAAAUGACUAGCCAGAAGGUAUUAUUUGGGUUCUUUGAUCCUGUAUAAGUACCGAAGAUCUACCAGCGUAUAAUCGAUGUGGGACUAAACAUACGCCCGCACGGGUCUUUAUAGUAAUAGCUUCAUUAAUAUAAUAAAGACUUAUAUGAUUGGUUGUCAUGUAAUCUCAUUAUUAUUAUUUUUUCAAAUUUUUAUAUUAAUUUCUUCUCUUUUUCUGUAAAGAUAAUUUUUCUCACAUUAUCUCUUCCUUGGAAUUUAAAAAUACAACUUUGAGAAAAGAGGAAUUCAUUAAUGCUAUUACCUGGGAACGAAAUGAUAGUAUAAUUGUCCAUGUAAAGAAAUUGGAGUAACACAUCACUGGGUUUGAGCUCCGAAUGUCAUCCAAAUCAAGUUCAAAUCUUCUACAAACCUGAUAGUAGGUAAUUCCUAUAUUCGAACACAACCCCGAACACUACAGAUAAGCAUGCAUGGUGUGCUCCGUUCCCUAUACACCCCAAAGACCACCAACAGAAAGAUAACAAAGUAGUCCUUUUUGCCAUGGUUAUAACAUAAUAUUUCAGUCUUUGUUAAAGAUGUCUACAGUUAUAUUCACUUAGCAUCAAAUUAUAGAUAAUCUUAUGCUAGACACCUUAAAUGUAGGGAACUCAUUAAUUUUGUCUUCUGUGUGGCAGGAGCCGAGGAGUAUUUUGACUAUGAUGAAGAUAGUGCAUUUGGGCCUCAACACUGGGGAGAUCUGGAUCCGGAUUGGGCAACCUGCCAAGAUGGGAAAAAGCAAUCACCAAUAAAUAUAAAUCAUGAGAUUAUUGAAGUGGAUUCGAGUAUUGGAAGCUUGAUGACAAGUUACAACAGCACUUUUGCAAUUAUGCAAAAUACGGGCCAUUACAUAUUGGUAAGAAGUAGAACAUGAACAAGAAGGGGAAAUAAAAGAACCAGUAAUCUCAUCUUUUUAUUUUCUGUUGCUAAAUAGAAGGGCUAAAGUCCCUCUAAACAUAUUCGUUAAAUCAAUGAAAAGAUAUUACUAUGUUUUACAUUGUUUUUAGGUUUUAUUUUACUCUUUUUUUUAUGAUUUUUUAUAAAAAUUUUGUUCAUAUAAUUUCUUUUUUAUUUUUCUUAUGUGAAUGUAGAUUAACUGGACAGAAGGCGCAACACCUGGUGCAGGAUCUCUUUUGAUUGAUGGCAAGGACUAUGUUCUUCAACAAUGUCAUUGGCACUCACCCUCUGAGCAUAUAUUUUUUUGGUGAGAGGUACCUUUCUAUAACUCCAUCUCCACCCUUUUUUUUGGUAACAUAAAUUUGUUAUAGGGAGGGUGACAUUGUGUGGCCUCGAAAUUGGAUUUAUACAUUUCAAAAAUGCUUUAGUAACUCAAAAAUGUCAUUAAACAAGCCGCUUGGUGCGAUGUAUUCUAAUUGCUCCCUUUGAAUUGCUAUCAUCAACUGUGCCAUUAAAUGAAGCAAGGUGAUUCAGUGAUUGGUAUAAAGCACCUGAAUGACUAUUCUGAGUUACUUUAGCAUCACUCCAUAUGCAUUUUAUAUGUUAAUUAUUUGCUAUCUGAUGUUUUAUUAUUCUUGACCCCAAAAUUGGGCCCGGCCCACCCAUUCGACCUGACACACUGUGUCACUAUGCCUAAGUCCAGCGGAUGGGUCCAACAGGAUGGGCCAAAUUUGCCCAGGUCUAGCCGGCCCACAUUCUACAUGCCUGGAGUAAGCUUUGAGCAAAUAGAAGUUGAAGAACUCUUCAGAACAUGAGUCAAGAAAAAACUUCUAUAAUUAUAUGGCAUCCUAUGAAAAAUAAACCCUUUUCUAGAAUAAGAUAUAUGUUAGCAUGUCGCUUAACUCAAAAUGUGUUUUACAGUUUUCAAGUAACAACACAUCUUGGAGGUGUAAAAACCAAUGAUUUUAGUUAAUGUUACUUUAUUUGAUUUAAUGUAAUAACUCAAGGCCUCAUCUUAAAACUCUUGAGAUGUGCUUUGCCCUUUUCAAGUUACAACAUGCCUUAGAGGCUUAAGACUAUGGAUUUCAAUUAACAAUGCUUUUUUUGAUUUAGUAUAACAUUAAUCCGGGAUCUCAUCUAAAAAGGACUAGCUAAAAGGUAGUCAAGAUCUCUCAAACAAUACUCUCUCCAUUUGGUCCAAAUCUAAUCAAUUCAAUUUAUAAACACCAGACCAUGAUAGCCCUAUUGUCAUCUCAAAAAGGGCCCAUAUUAUAAUAUCCCCUAGUCCAUAUAGACAGUGGGCUAGGUUAGCUUUGAUGGCCUCACCUAAAAACGAUUAGCCAAAAUGCAUUAUUUGGUUUCCUGGUUUUGUAUUAGUAUCUAAUAUCUUCCUAGCACACAAGUAAUAUAGAUUGAAUACAAUACUCAUAUAGGUAGGAUUUGAGUUCCUUCUUUGUAUAAGUAUUCAAGAUCUUUUCAACAUAUAACUAAUGUAGAAUGAAAUACAUGCUCGCGUGGAACCUCAAUCAAAGAACCGAAAUAAUACCAUUUGUCUAACCUUUUUCGGAUAAGGUUCGGAGUUGUUAUAAUUUGUAUCAGAGUGGACCAGUCAUACAAUCUAUGUAUGAUUGUGGUAAAGAUGUCUGCGCUUAAACAGGGGAGAACCUGUGUGGACAUGUAUUUACUUGUAUAAUAGUUACGAGCUCUAAAGAUUUUGAUAUUCAUUUAGAGCCAAGGAACUCAAAUAAUAUAUUUCAGAUAGCUUUGUCAGGAUAAGAUCCGUUGUUAUUAAAAUUUUAUAUUUUAUAUUUGUAAAACUCAGCUUCAAAGAGUGAAAAAAUAUGAAACAUGGAUGCGCAGAUGCUUGGACACACAUUAAUACUUUGCUCAUAUUUUAAUGGAAAAUGCUGCAUUAUUCUCUUCCUUCCCUCUGUAGACCAUCCUAGAGAAACUGGUUCCAAGAGAUCAUCCCAACAGAUUUCAAGAUAUUAUCCCUCUCAUAGCACAUCUCACGUAUUUUGGAAGUCAAUUUCCAGCCUCUUACCUUUCGGUGUUUGUAACCUAAGCCAUAAAUAUGUACUUGUAGGUAUCCUCUGGAGUUGCAUAUGGUCCACAUGAAUUCAGAUGGAAGCAUAGCUGUCAUUGGCAUCUUGUACCAACAUGGCUCUCCUGAUCCGUUCCUUUCAAAGGUUUGACAUCAAAAGAACGUACCUUCUUUUACCUUUUCCUCUUCACUCCAACUUAAGCAGGCUAAUCUUUAUUGGCUCAGCUGCGGAACUACUUGGAGUAUCUGAUACGGGAGCAAAAAGAUGAGGUUGUCGUGGGAUAUUUACCUCCACCACCAAUAGAGAAUCGAGCUCCUUAUUAUAGAUACUCUGGCUCUCUAACCACUCCACCCUGCACUGAAAAUGUUACUUGGAUCCUACUACGAGAGGUUUGCAUCAUCUUUAACUUACCUAUUAUGCUUGCCUCCUUUGCUAAGCUCUGCCUCUUUAUCAAUCAAUUCAUUGUGGUUUUAGGUGAGGCCCGUAUCAGAAGGACAAGUAGACCUGCUAAGGGCUGCUUUACAUUAUGUAAGUUGGCUGAUUGAGAAUUAUCAUAUUCAAUGCAAUGCAAUUACAUUAGAUUACUUAAAUAUCUUUGUAGCUUGCUGAUGGCCGACGAAAUGGUCUAUUUUGUGUUCAAUUACCUUUCUGCAGAAGGACAAUGCAAGACCAAUUCAACCAAUCAACGGACGCAAGGUCUACUUGUACAAACCAUGGAUACACGAAGAUCAUGCGAGUCCUAUUGCUACAUAAUUACUUUGAUGGGAAAAUCUUAUUCCAAACAGCAAAUAAAAUAACCAAGAGUUUAGCAUACUUUGUUGCUCUGCUUUUAAAAUCUGAAAUAAGGUGUUGUGGCCCUACGUUGAAGGCCAGCCGCUUAAAUAAACAUUUCAGUCCAUGGUACAUAGUGAUCGUAAUGCAAUGUAUUCUCUUUUCUUGUAUCAGCUAUUUCUUUCUUGUGCACUAGUUUGUAACCUUGGAUACCAUCAGAACGAUCGUUAUUUGCUGUAUGAUAAAUGAUUUGCUAUUUGGUGAAGAAUGACUUGCACAAACGAUGUCAACAUAUUUUACUAGUUAUAAUGCACAUGUCUAUGUACGUGUGUAUCAAAUAAAAUAUCAUAAUAAUUUCGUGUAUAAAUUAUUAUGUUGAAAAUCCAUUUAUUGCUAAUGGCACAUACAAAGACAGAAAACCUAAUUUGAUGCGGACUUGAAAAAUAGUACUUGAGAUAGAAAGGCUAGGAGGAAUGAUAAAAUUAUAUAUAGCCUCGACUUAUAUCUAGUCUGACCUGAUCCGAUUGCCACCUCUAGGACUCAAUUGCUACCAAGUCAAUAGCACCCAUCUCCUUCUGCAACAUCAAUAAAAGAAAUUAUGUGAUUUGUGGGCGCCCUAUUGUAUUGCUCUUUAGAUUAACGAAACCUAUACAUGCUGGCCGAUUAAGCCUAGAAAAUAUUACAGAUAAAAAUGUUCCAAUUAGAGAUCUUCUGAAAAAAAGUAGUGAGGUUAUAAAUCAUAAUCUGGAGGAUGAAAUAAUCAUAACCGAUCAUGAUCUGGCUGACAAAAACUAGAUCGGAUCAGAUACCUUGCCAAAGGCAAUGAUGAUCCUGGAGGAGUCUAUUUAAAUUAGAGGUAAGAUGGACACAGGUUUGUGACUUUCUUUGCAUGUGCCUACCACUAUCAUAGAGCAAAUACCGAUUCCUGUUAUCACUUGCAAUGCAAAUGCUGAAUCUAUUCAUCACGUGUUUGUCACCUGCCCAUUCUCAAUGGAAGUUUGGAAUGCUGUCAGCUUUUGCCUGAAUGCAUCGGUUCCUCCACCCAGGCUGGACUUCUCAUAUCAAAACCGGACUUCACAGUCCUUUCCGGAGGACCAACAGCAAAUCAUCCUCAUGUUCAUCUCCUCUUUUUCAUGGGCCUCGUGGAAAGAAAGAAAUUCUAGGAUUUUCUCGAGGAAAUCUUCUAUACCUGUUUCAGUUGCUCAGAAUGGUCUCAACAUGCUCAAAGAUUGGUCCGUCCUUUAUCAGAGCAAACACCUCAAAGUUUGGACAAAAAUCAAGAACAUCAGCACUAUCUUAAAGGAUUCAUGGUUCCAUAUACAGCUUACUACUUGAAAAAUCCAUCCCUAGCUGUUUGAAGUGGCUGAUCCUCUUUGUUUUUCCUGCAGAGCCUUGAGUUUUCACAACAAGAGAGUGUUCAUCACCUCUCUGGUCUUUCACUACUCUAUCCCUUGGAUGGACCUCUCUUCUCCAUGAGCCUGCUGCUACUUAUUUCUUUUGUUGAUUGUGAGACAACAUUGUUAAAGAAUCACUUUGCCCUAUUCUCUUAUAUAUAGUGCUACGUAAAUAACUUCUUUCAGUAAAAAAUUUGGAUGGCUCUUUUUUAGCCUCCCUUAUCAUCAAAAAAAAAGAAAAAGUUAAAACUUGUUGCAAUCUCAAUUUUACCAUAUUCGCUGAGAAUUUAAUAUCUUGGUGCCUAUAUGUCAACUGAAAUCUUGGAAACUCUUAGUUCUUCCUAAAAUUUCUGCACCUUCUAUUGCUGUUGAGAUAAACACAGAUCUAUGUACAUGACAAUUGAUACGUAUUAAAUUUCUGAUAUCAGCUUGAUAUUACCAUGACCUUCAAUCCCAUUUAAGAAUACAUCCUUGAACUUUGGCUAACUCUUUGGGAAAGAGUUUUAAUGAAAAUGAUGGAAAAAAUAUUGGACACCUCGACCUCAGGCUAUACUGACCUCGACAACCUCGGCCUCGACCGAAGAGAGCAACUUCGGUCCCGAUUGAGGAGCUAACCGAUCAAAGUGAGCAACUUCGUCUCUGACUGAGGAGUCCAUUCAACACGUGCCAUCAGGGACUGACAGUCCUAACAACCGAUGGCCUUGGCAGCCCGUAGUCAUGACAGCACUAUAGUCUGCACCCAACUAGCACUAAGAAUAACUGGAAUUGAACGAGCAAACGGAGGCUGAAAGCAUGCCGUCCACACGGACUAGCUUUCACGCUGCGGCUGUACCAUCGGCCAUUGCCUGGCCGUCUUUGUUCUUCACAUCAGUCCAGAUAACGAAAAAAUACUCUCUUAUAUAAAGGGGCAACUCGAGAGAUCUCAGGAAUGAGGUAGAAAGCCUCUUUUUUAAUGACUCUGUCAAAGUAACAAGACCAUUAUUUCUGACUUUUUGAAGGGGUCCGACCUAAAUCGACUAUCACCCUCGCUUUCCUCAUCUUUGCUUAUGGUGCCGUCUUUUGAAUUAGAAGAAAUGCCAUGCGUUUGAUAACAUAUUACUAUGGAAGUCGAAGAGGGGCAGCUCCUCUUAGACUUCUCAACAGGUAGUCACCCUCAGAAAAGAAAAGGGAAAACAUGCCAAUUUAACAUUUGUGACAUCAAUUGGGGCCUUUGGAUCUAUGAUUUCAAUGAUUUAUAUGUAAGACUAUCAAAAGUUGUGAUGUCUUUCAAAUUUUUGAGUAUAAAAUAACCUCCUAAAUAUUGGAAUUUGCAUGAAUUCCUUUCCAAAAUUGAUAUUUGCAUGUAUACUAUUAUAUAAUACUUGUUUUGCAUGUAUAUCCUUCUGAUCCUUUUCUUUUUUGUAUUUGCACCCACAUCAUCUAAUGCCAUUAAAAAAUUUGUAGUUUAAAAUUGAAAUGACUGAAGUACCUUUAAUGGAUAAAUAUGAAGAAAAAAAUAUUUAUAAGGGUGUAUAUACAAAUAAAAAUUUUAUGAGGGUGUUCAUACAAUUUCACAUAUUUAGGAGGGUAUACACGCCAUAAAAUUCUUAGAUUUUUUUACAUGAAUAUCCUCCUAAAUAUUAAAAUUUGCAUGAAUACCUUCCCAAAAUUAAUAUUAGCAUGGACACUUUGACAUAACAGUUUAGUUGAUAUAAUUAGACAAAAUCAUAUCUAUCUAAAUUAUAAAUUAAUUAAAUUAUGAAAUUACCGCAAAAGUAGGUAACAGGUUAAUGGGUCUUGUUGAGAACUUACCAAUUCCAUUGAACUUCCUAUCUUUGCACGCGAUCGCUCUCUUCCGCUUAAGAUCGCCCUAAUCCCUCUACCUUCUUUGUAAAAUUUUGCAAUCUCUUUCGAUCCCUCUCUUUCACUCUUCCAUCUAGAAUCAAAACCUUUUUCUUGACUCCCUUUACCAUCAACAACCCUUCUCUAUUGACCCCUCUUUUUUUUCUUUUAGUGUGUGAGAUUUGUAAUAUUUAUCUUUUAGAACCAAAAAACUUCUUGUGUGCAAGUAGGUGGCUGAUUUAAAAUUAUUGUAAUAAAAUGAGUCUCAUAGGUCUUUUUCUUCUUUCUGAAAAUCGAAGCUCCAAACAAAAAUAGCUUAAGCAUAAGGGGUGGCCUUUUAUCAUAUGAGUGCAGAGGUUGUUAGUUUGAAGGAUUUUGAAGUCCUUCAAUGGCUUUGCUCGGGGACGAUUAAUAUUUUUCUUCAACCCAUAAGGACAGCAGUAGUAAGAAAGCUUGAUUAUUGCAAUCUAUUGUGUGCCUUUAAGAGAUUCUAAUCUAUUUCUAUAUUCUGAUUUAUACCAUCACAGAUGCAUCUAUAACAAUAAAUAUUACAAGUUGAUUUUCGAUUAAAUGAGACAUAAUGGUUAUUGUAAAUGAUUUAUGGUAUAAAAUACAAUCAUUCGGACAACUGUGUAUGUUCUCGUGUCCAAGAUCCAAUUCGUUUACUAGUUUCUUGGCUUUAUAAGAAGAUGACGGCAAAGUAACACCUUCCGAAAAUGCAUUCUUUAAUAAUUGAAGUGGCAUAGUGAAAGACUUGCUAGACCACCCAUUCAAAUAUUUUAAAUAAAAUAAAUGCAUAAAAAAAGAAAUCUUCAACAAAUUCUUUCCAUGCGGAUAUAGUUUUUGAUCUCAAUCUUUCAUCAAGUUAUGAUACCGAGUUAUGUCAUCAUUAGAUGAAUGUAUAGAUUCCUCAGCAUGCAUACAAUUAGUAAAUGUACACUCAUCACCUAUUGUACCUGCUUCUUGUUCUCCACUGAAAUCUACUAUAUUUUCUAUACCAUGUCCAAGAGCAUAUCUGAGUAAGGCCCUUAUAUCAUCUUCUCCUACAGAAUUUCUUUCCAUGUUACUGGAUCCAAAACUAGAGGUGUUUCUAUAUAGGAGGCUUGGUUACAUGGAGAUGGCAAUAUGGACUCUCCAUGAAAAAUCCAUUCAAUAUAACCCUUUAGAAAACUAUUUCACACCAAAUGUUCUUCAACAGUUUUUGGAGCGAAAGAAGAACAAUUUAUACAUUUUCAACAUGGACAUAAAAUCUUUUCGUUCAUAUUAGAUUUCUCAAAAGCAAAUUUAAUAAAAUUCUGAACUCCAUUCGAAUAUUCUUUGCUGGAUCUCAACUUAUUUAUCCAACUUUGGUCCAUUUUAUUAGAAUACUGAUUGUAUUGCAACUUAUUUACAAAAGAUAAACGAAAUUAAAUAUUUAAUAUUACAUUCCAAAUGAACAACUGGUCUUCUAAGAUAUGAAGGCAGCAAAAGCAUUACCAGAUCCUACAAUACAUGACCUAGACUUGUUUAGUGGUGGAUCCAUGGUGAGAUUGCUCAAGGUAGAAGGUGGACUCAACAUCUCAAAAAAGUUUCACCCUUAGCUAAGCCUACUUGGGAAUCAUGCUGAGAAUACUUCAGAGAUAAUCAAGUUUAUUCCUCUUCAAUAAUAUAUCUAAGAAAGGUCUCUUCUCUAGAUUAUCUUAUUACUCUUCUUAAACAACAUAUUCAUUCAAUUUUGGCAAACAAAAUUAUUAAUCAGGUUUUCUAGCUAUUUUUUUAGAGGGGAAUACGAGCAAUCUAGACAAUUUUCUAUUUUUUUCCAAGAAAUCUCUCCUCAGCGUAUGCGUUGAGGAGAAUGGUGCAAGCCGGCCGAACCAUAUUGCAUCGCACGUAUAAGACCCGAGCAAUGGACUAAUGCGGCAAUCUCAAAUUAAAUGGCUGCUAGUCUCUUUUCAUAAGAUCAGGAUUGUGUUGAGGGCAAGAUUUGUGAAUGAGAAGACCGGAAUACUUUUAAAAAUCUGAAUUGGUGAGCACAUCAAAUCCAGCAAAUGCAUGUGCAACCCAGCAAGAUUCAUCAAGCACACCAAGUGUUAGAUAUCUAGGGGAAGCAGCAACCAUUGUUAAAAUCCAUGCACGAUUUAAGUAAAACUAAAUAUUUGAUCAGUAUUAAAAGCAACAGUCGUUAUUAAAUCAAGUUCCGUGGGGAUGCGAUUAGCAAAAAUUCAACUUUGGUAAACAAAAAUUAUUAAUCCAGAAUUAGAGAGGAAAAUCAUGCAAUGAUAUAAACGAGGCCGCAAUUAAUUUAUAGAGGAGUGGGUUACCUAAGAUCUGUGGGCUGGCUUUCUUUCUCGUCAAUGGAGGAUGACAGUCGGCUAGAGUUUGGAAGAAGACAGUGGAACGGCGGUGGCUAUAGGCAGGGAAGGAGGAUGGAGAAAGAGGAGGAGGAUGCAGCUAUGCUCCGAUAGUGGGUUCUCUGGAGACGGAGGCCGGAGAAGGAGGGGGAGGAUGCAACUAUGCUGGUGGAGGACUCUCUGGAGGAGGAGGAGGAUGAAGCUUUGGGGGAUUACUCUCGGGAGGAGGAGAAGAAGAAGAAGGAGGAGGAUGAGUAGGGCUCGUCGAUUUGGGGCUCCGCUCUCUGGGGUUAGGGAUUUGGGGGGCUUUCGAGGAUUUAUAUCCAUCGUCUUGUUCUUGCUCUUGGAUUCCGAUGGUGUUUAAUUGCGCCGUCUAAUACCACCGACACUUCUGUGUUCUGG
rnacentral:lncRNA from 1 species